rnacentral:tRNA from 2 species
GCUGGCGUGGCGCAAUCGGUAGCGCACCUGUCUUGUAAACAGGGGGUUAGGGGUUCAAGUCCCCUCGCCAGCUCCA